UACGGAGGGAGCUAGCGUUGUUCGGAAUUACUGGGCGUAAAGCGCACGUAGGCGGCUUUGUAAGUCAGAGGUGAAAGCCUGGAGCUCAACUCCAGAACUGCCUUUGAGACUGCAUCGCUUGAAUCCAGGAGAGGUGAGUGGAAUUCCGAGUGUAGAGGUGAAAUUCGUAGAUAUUCGGAAGAACACCAGUGGCGAAGGCGGCUCACUGGACUGGUAUUGACGCUCAUGCACGAAAGCGUGGGGAGCAAAC
rnacentral:rRNA from 2 species